rnacentral:rRNA from 1 species
AUUGAACGCUGGCGGCAGGCUUAACACAUGCAAGUCGAACGGUAACAUAAAGAAGCUUGCUUCUUUGAUGACGAGUGGCGGACGGGUGAGUAAUGCUUGGGAAUCUAGCUUAUGGAGGGGGAUAACUACGGGAAACUGUAGCUAAUACCGCGUAGUAUCGAGAGAUGAAAGUGUGGGACCUUCGGGCCACAUGCCAUAGGAUGAGCCCAAGUGGGAUUAGGUAGUUGGUGAGGUAAAGGCUCACCAAGCCGACGAUCUCUAGCUGGUCUGAGAGGAUGACCAGCCACACUGGGACUGAGACACGGCCCAGACUCCUACGGGAGGCAGCAGUGGGGAAUAUUGCGCAAUGGGGGCAACCCUGACGCAGCCAUGCCGCGUGAAUGAAGAAGGCCUUCGGGUUGUAAAGUUCUUUCGGUAGCGAGGAAGGCACUUAGUUUAAUAAACUAGGUGAUUGACGUUAACUACAGAAGAAGCACCGGCUAACUCCGUGCCAGCAGCCGCGGUAAUACGGAGGGUGCGAGCGUUAAUCGGAAUAACUGGGCGUAAAGGGCACGCAGGCGGUGACUUAAGUGAGGUGUGAAAGCCCCGGGCUUAACCUGGGAAUUGCAUUUCAUACUGGGUCGCUAGAGUACUUUAGGGAGGGGUAGAAUUCCACGUGUAGCGGUGAAAUGCGUAGAGAUGUGGAGGAAUACCGAAGGCGAAGGCAGCCCCUUGGGAAUGUACUGACGCUCAUGUGCGAAAGCGUGGGGAGCAAACAGG